AGGUGCACAUUGUCUUUCCAGGGUGAUUCUUCAUCCAUGCAUCUUGACAAGAGUUGACAUACUUCUUGAGAGGACCGUAGACACUCCUGUCCAGCGGUUGUAACUUGUGAGACGUGUGAGGCGGAAAUGACAAAAGAACAACCCCAUUCUCCUUGGAGAGAUUAUUUACUUUCCACUGAGAGGUGUGAUGAAUGGUUGUCUAGAAGCAGAAGCACUGGGUGUUCUUUCGAAGGCUUCACUUGUUUGAUGAAAUGCGUAAUGAAGAGAACAAACUCUGUGUCCUUCAUCCAGCCAGAUGGAUUUGCAGCCCCGAUGCAUCCAAUCGGAUCAUCUCGGAUAAAAUGAUCCUUGAAGUGGACACGUGGAAAUAUCAGUGGAGGUACGACAUUUCCGGUCGCACUCACUGCCUGACAUAGGGUGACUAGUGUUCCCCGCUCACCUGACGUGACAGCACCUACUUGCUUGGUUCCUUUGGGUGAUACAACCUUACAUGGCUUUUGGACGGUAGUAAGGCCUGUCUCAUCUACAUUCCAGAUGUUGGAUGGUUCAAACUUGUACUUAUCUAAUACACUGGCCAAUUUGUCAAGAGACUGUUUCACAUUGUGUUUGUUGAAGCUAGAAACUCUAGCCAAACUUGUUGCUUGUGCACUGUACGUACCCAAAAGAUUCCCAAUUAUGUGCCAGUUGAAGAUAGCCUUGGACAUCACUUUCCUAACACAGUCCUUUAGUUGCUCAUCACAUCUGUACUGAAAGUGCAAUCCCAGAUCUUGAAUAUUCCUCUACAGGCUACUGGAGAAGUGGAAGUUACACCAUAAGGCCUGAUUUAAGGAAAUCAGAUCUUGAAUUUUCCCCUACAGGCUACUGCAGAAGUGGAAGUAGGACCCAAUGAGGCCUGGUUUAAGAAAAUCUGCUCUUAUCACUUGCAUAUUUACUGAAGGUACAACCCGAGAUCCUGAAUUUUCUGUGAAGACUACUAAGGAAAUGAAAGUAGCAUCGAUAACAAUAAGACUUAGCUGUAAUUGCUUGCAUCAGUGCUGUUCAAAGUCUUUUAGUGGUACCUGUAAGACCUGGUUUUAGAAAAUGCAGCGCUAAUCGCUUGCAUCAUUUCAGCUUCAAAGUCUGUAGAUUGCGUCUGUACUGUGCUUGUAAUCCUAGGUCCUGUAUUUUCCUGUACAGGCUACUGCAGAAUUGAAAGUGUUACGCGUUGGGCCUUGUUUCAGUAUAUUCAUACCUUUAUCGCUUGCAUCAAUGUGGCUUCAAAGUCUGUAAUUAGCACCUGAGAGGCCUACAUUCAAUUCUUUAUUUCAUUUCCAUGCAAACAUAAUAAAAAUCAUAUAUCAGAUACAAGUUUGAUACAUGUUGGUUGAGGAAAUUCAGCCCAAAUUUCGUUUUAAUCAAUGCAGCCUCAAAGUCAGUAAGGGUCUGUCUUGGAGUGAGCCUUCUGUUACUGCUAGUAUGCCAUCCUUGAGAGAUUGCAACAACACUUCAUAGUGUUCUUGUGUCUUUCCUUCCAAUAGUGCAAACUGCCAUACCUACAUUUAGGAAAUUCAGCCCUAAUUGCUUUCAUCAAUGUAGCCUCAAAGUCAGUAAGGGUCUGUCUCGGAGUGAGCCUUCUCCCUGUUACUGCUAGUAUGCCAUUCUUCAAAGAUUGCAGCAUUACUUCAUACUGUGCUUGGGUCCUUUCCUUCCAAUAGUGCCAACUGCCAUACCUACAUUUAGGAAAUUCAGCCCUGAUUGCUUUCAUCAAUGCAGUUUCAAAGUCUUUCAGGGUCUGUCUUGGAGUGAGCGUUCUCCCUGUUACUGUUAGUACGCCAUUCUUCAAAGAUUGCAGCAUCACUUCAUACUGUGCUUGGGUCCUUUCCCUCCAAAAGUGCCAGCUGCCAUACCUACGUUGGCAUCUGUUUGUCUCUGAAGGCAAUGGCCCGUAUUCUGAAGUCAGGUUUAACUUAGAUCACGGUCUAACUCUGUGCUAAAAUUAUGGGGAGCCAGAAAUCCAAAAAAAUAUGUUUAUAUUGUAUAUUUCUUAUGUUUACCAUUUCGUUUCAUUUUGCUUUCAUGACGAAGAAAAAUACUUCAGCUACUAUUCCCAGACAAUUAUGAACAAUUUGGGUGUCAAAUGUGUUAAUAAAUUAAAUGUGUAUUGUAAGGGAUUUGUGCUCCAAUUGGCUCUCCAUACUUAAACCACAACUUUAAACCAGGGUUUAAUUUAAACCUGAGUUCAGAAUACCGGCCAAUAGGUUUAUCAGCACUCAAGAACUGUUUGCUUUCUGUGAUCACACCUCUUAUCCAAAAAUCUCACUCUUUAAAUUUAUUUUGAUCCAUGCCCUCUCUCACUAGUAUCCUCCAUUUGCCUCGGUCAGCAGAAGAGGCUUCCCACUUUGAUGGGUUGCUGUCACAAGCCUUCAUAUCACAUACAUCUUUAAAGCGAAGGACAGGUGUUCCAACAGCCCCUGUUCCAGAAGCCAGUUUGCCAUACACAAUGUCUUUUGGCAUGUAGGGUCAUCUAUUCCACUCACAUGACUGCACUCUAAGACAUUGUUGCAUGAGGAGAGGGAAGAUAGCGAUCAUACCUGUUUUCUUGAGGAUGUCUUUAUUUGUUUGGGAUGCGAACCUGCCAUUCGAUUCCCAGAAUUUGCCUUAGGCAGCGUAGAAGGAAGGAGUUCAGACGGCGCUCUUGGCGUGCAUACAUGUAUAUGAAGUCCAUGACUUACCGCCAUAAAGUAGAGUACUGAGAACAUAGGCUUGGUAGAUUUUCCUUUUCGUGUUGAUGGUUGGCAGAGUGUUCUCCCAGGUACCCUUGGAGAGUCUAGCCAUCAUUGUUGAUACCUCGCUGAUGCUGUUAUUGAGCUCAAUUGAGCUCAGAAGUAUGUAUGUGUGCUUGUGUCUUUCGUUCCAUUAGUACCAACUACCAUACCCGAUGAUAACGAUUAAAUAAACACUUUGUAUAUAGCACAGACAUGCAUGUGUGCCAUUUUAAUAUACUUUUGAUAUAUAAUAAUAAAUCAAAGUAAAACACAAUUGAUUGUGCCAUUCCUAAUGAUAACAAUAAAAUAUAUUUAUAUGCAGCACAAACAUUCAUCAUUCUAUUAAAUACCGUUAUAGAGUAACAAAGUGAUGAUGUUAGCAUUUUGCAUUUCAGCAUUUUUUAUACCAUAUUUUGGGCCCCAUGGACCAAUUCUCACCAAAUUAUGGAUAUGGGGGUUUUUAAUCAUGAUCUACCAGAAUAUGGUAUGAAAAAUGCUGAAAUGCAAAAGUGAAUAUUGAUGACGUCACACUUCGGUACUCUAUCGUACGUGCUGAUUAAUCAAAGUAAACACAAGUGCUUGCAUGUUUUUGUUAAUGUGCUAGAUUGCAGAAUAUGUUGUUAUUUUAUGCUCUAUCAAUUCGUCCAUCUUUCAUUUAGGCCGAGCGACCAUUUUAUCCUGGCGACCCUUUUCUCGCAUGACUAGCAACCCUUUCCUCCUAUUAUGACUAGUGAUCCUCUUCUGUUAUGACUGGUGACCCUCUAAUAUUUUAUCAAGCGCCCAUCCUGUACUAUUAUGACGAGCGACCCUCUUCAACUAUUAUUACUAGCCACCAUCUUCUGAUGCUAGAAAAAUCAGCCAUUUUCACAACAUUUUCAACUAGCUGUCAAAACAAACGAGGAACUUAUGUUUGUUUUGCCGUAAUAAUAAAGUACUACUGGGUAGUAACGUAAAAAAAUGUACAACCUACAAAAAUAUGUCGUCCAUGGGUGAAUUAGAGGUGAAAAAUUUUCACCUUUAAUUCACCCAUAAUCAAACAUUUUCAAUUGGUAAUCAGUUUUUCACAUGACUACCCACUAUUACUUUAUCAUUGAAAAAAAAUGUUAUUGCUCAAGCAUUCAGCUAAGAGACAAAAUUGUUUUGCCGAGAUGUCCUGUACGACACGUAUGGAAUCACCCUAUUAUGGCAGGCAGCCCUUUUUAUUUUUUACUUGUAGACUGGCAACCCUCUUACUUGAUUAUGACUAGCGACCCUCGUGGAUUAUGACAAGCCACCCUUGUGAAUAGUGACCCGUUUGAAUAUAACAACUAGUGAUCCUUAUGAUUAGUGGUUUUACUGUUAUUUUCUCACAGUUUCAACCUUUCAAAAUGGAUAUUGUUAACUUUGAAAUAUGCAGCUUUAAGAUGUGAAAUGCUUUAAUUAAUACGUGAAGGAACUUUGCUUUAAUCUUGAUGAUUAAUCGUUUCUUGUGAGUGAUUCAUGAAGAAGAUGUUGAUAUUUCAAUUAAAACAGUAUAUUGCCAAGCAAUUA